GAUGAACGCUGGCGGCGUGCCUAAUACAUGCAAGUCGAGCGAACAGACGAGGAGCUUGCUCCUCUGACGUUAGCGGCGGACGGGUGAGUAACACGUGGAUAACCUACCUAUAAGACUGGGAUAACUUCGGGAAACCGGAGCUAAUACCGGAUAAUAUAUUGAACCGCAUGGUUCAAUAGUGAAAGACGGUUUUGCUGUCACUUAUAGAUGGAUCCGCGCCGCAUUAGCUAGUUGGUAAGGUAACGGCUUACCAAGGCGACGAUGCGUAGCCGACCUGAGAGGGUGAUCGGCCACACUGGAACUGAGACACGGUCCAGACUCCUACGGGAGGCAGCAGUAGGGAAUCUUCCGCAAUGGGCGAAAGCCUGACGGAGCAACGCCGCGUGAGUGAUGACGGUCUUCGGAUCAUAAAACUCUGUUAUUAGGGAAGAACAAAUGUGUAAGUAACUAUGCACGUCUUGACGGUACCUAAUCAGAAAGCCACGGCUAACUACGUG
rnacentral:rRNA from 1 species